CUACCAUAUUAUUGGUUAUCUUGUAUAAUUGCUUUAAUUGGUAAGUGAGUUUCUACGCCAAACCGUAAAUUUGGUACUACAAGAAAGAAAAGGAUGGUG
rnacentral:ncRNA from 2 species